rnacentral:rRNA from 1 species
GAUGAACGCUGGCGGCGUGCUUAAUACAUGCAAGUCGAGCGGACAGACGCGGCGCUUGCUUCUUGCUUGUUAGCCGCGCGGGUGAGUAAAACGCGUGUAUAAUGCCCCUAUAAUACUGAUAACUUCACGAAAAACGGGCGCUUACACCGGAUAAGCUUCUGAUCCGCGUUGUUCAUAGGUGAAAUACGGCCUUUGCGGCGGUUCUGGAUGGACUCGCGCUUCAUUAGCUUGUUGGGGAGGUAGCGGCAUACCAAGGCUACGCGGGGUAGCCGACCUGAGAGGGUGACCGGCCACACUGGGACUGAGGGACGGCCCAGAGUCCUACGGGAGGCAGCAGUGGGGAAGAUUGCAGAAUGGGCGGAAGCCUGAUGCAGCAACGCCGCGUGCGGGAUGACGGCCUUCUGGUGGUAAACCGCUUUCGCCUGUGACGAAGCGUGAGUGACGGUAAUGGGUAAAGAAGCACCGGCUAACUACGUG